UACGGAGGGUGCGAGCGUUGUCCGGAUUUAUUGGGUUUAAAGGGUGCGUAGGCGGCGCGUUAAGUCCGGGGUGAAAGCCCGUUGCUCAACAACGGAAUUGCCCCGGAUACUGGCGGGCUUGAGUGGGGUCGAGGCCGGCGGAAUGGGCGGAGUAGCGGUGAAAUGCAUAGAUACCGUCCAGAACCCCGAUUGCGAAGGCAGCUGGCUGGGCCUUUACUGACGCUGAGGCACGACAGCGUGGGGAGCGAACAGG
rnacentral:rRNA from 1 species